CUGUAUGAAGCCUAUAUCCCUCUGCUAUGGACUCAUUAUUAUUUAUGAGCUUUUGUCGGAUGUCUUGUUCUUCUAAAUUGAUGUUGUUGGUAGCAUUAUAAACCAGAAGGGCUAAAACCUCAAAACGUUUACUAUCGAUGUUUCUUUUUUCUCUUACUGCCUCUUUUAUGGUACCAGGUUGGAUGCUGAUAUUGACCACAUAUACAGUGUAAUUCCAGUUCUGGAAAGUAUGGUUUAGCCAUUCUGCAACCACAUCAUGUACUUUUGAUUCUGAGUUGGAGUUGUAACUAAAGACAGUUAUAGAUAUCCUGUAGAAUAGCCCACCUUGACAAAGGCUUCCUAGGUUUGCACAACUCGUUGGUUCAAUUGCAGAAGAAGGAAUUAGGUAUGAGCCACAACUUAAAUUGUUUUCUGCUUUCAGUGCUGAAGUUGGAAUACUCCAGAAUUCAUUUUCC
rnacentral:lncRNA from 1 species